rnacentral:rRNA from 1 species
AGUGAACGCUGGCGGUAGGCCUAACACAUGCAAGUCGAACGGCAGCACAGUAAGAGCUUGCUCUUACGGGUGGCGAGUGGCGGACGGGUGAGGAAUACAUCGGAAUCUACUUUUUCGUGGGGGAUAACGUAGGGAAACUUACGCUAAUACCGCAUACGACCUACGGGUGAAAGCAGGGGAUCUUCGGACCUUGCGCGAUUGAAUGAGCCGAUGUCGGAUUAGCUAGUUGGCGGGGUAAAGGCCCACCAAGGCGACGAUCCGUAGCUGGUCUGAGAGGAUGGUCGGCCACACUGGAACUGAGACACGGUCCAGACUCCUACGGGAGGCAGCAGUGGGGAAUAUUGGACAAUGGGCGCAAGCAUGAUCCAGCCAUACCGCGUGGGUGAAGAAGGCCUUCGGGUUGUAAAGCCCUUUUGUUGGGAAAGAAAAGCAGCAGGUUAAUACCCCGCUGUUCUGACGGUACCCAAAGAAUAAGCACCGGCUAACUUCGUG